GACGAACGCUGGCGGCGUGCUUAACACAUGCAAGUCGAACGGAAAGGCCCUGCUUUUGUGGGGUGCUCGAGUGGCGAACGGGUGAGUAACACGUGAGUAACCUGCCCUUGACUUUGGGAUAACUUCAGGAAACUGGGGCUAAUACCGGAUAUGAGCUCCUGCUGCAUGGUGGGUGUUGGAAAGUUUCGGCGGUUGGGGAUGGACUCGCGGCUUAUCAGCUUGUUGGUGGGGUAGUGGCUUACCAAGGCUUUGACGGGUAGCCGGCCUGAGAGGGUGACCGGCCACAUUGGGACUGAGAUACGGCCCAGACUCCUACGGGAGGCAGCAGUGGGGAAUAGUGCAAAAUGGGCGGAAGCCUGAUGCAGCAACGCCGCGUGCGGGAUGACGGCCUUCGGGUUGUAAACCGCUUUCGCCUGUGACGAAGCGUGAGUGACGGUAAUGGGUAAAGAAGCACCGGCUAACUACGUG
rnacentral:rRNA from 1 species